AUACGUAGGUGGCAAGCGUUGUCCGGAAUUAUUGGGCGUAAAGCGCAUGUAGGCGGUUUGGUAAGUCGGUCGUGAAAAUGCGGUGCUUAACGCCGUAUGGCGAUUGAAACUGCUGAACUUGAGUGCAGGAGAGGAAAGGGGAACUCCCAGUGUAGCGGUGAAAUGCGUAGAUAUUGGGAAGAACACCGGUGGCGAAGGCGGCUUUCUGGACGGUGUCUGACGCUCAGAUGCGAAAGCCAGGGGAGCGAACGGGAUUAGAUACCCCGGUAGUCCUGGCCGUAAACGAUGGGUACUAGGUGUGGGAGGUAUCGACUCCUUCCUUGCCGGAGUUAACGCAAUAAGUACCCCGCCUGGGGAGUACGGCCGCAAGGCUUAAACUCAAAUGAAUUGACGGGG
rnacentral:rRNA from 1 species